rnacentral:lncRNA from 1 species
CGGCGAGGUCCAGGCUCAUUCGGGAGGAUCGCUUUGCUGCCUAUUAAGGAUGUGAUAGACUAAUAUUUGCUAUUGUUGCUGUUUUUUAGGUUCUCUUCUCCCUCUCUAUCAAGUCUGCCCCUCCCUUCGCUAGCCUGUUUAAAACCAGCAAGCUUCAUUUUCUUAGCAGACAAAGGUCGAUCACAGCUUUUAUUUCUGAAUGCAAAUGUUCUAGGACUUGUGCCAGUCCUGCCUUCAUUGAGCACAAUAUAGCUGCUUUCCUGAAUGGCGCUUCCCCCUUCCUUUCUAAAAAAUAAAAAUAGAAGGGAGCUUAAGAGAAGAAACAAAGUUGGGCGGUGCAAGUUUUUUACAUUUAUUUAAUUUUUUACUCUAUGUGAAGCAUUACUAAGCAUCCCUGUGUAGAGCAGCUGUAACGUAGCCGCCAGCCAAUGCAUGGUGUUUAAUUGUAGGGACACAUACGAGAGAAGGGACCUGGUGGCAUUGCUCAGCUCCUGGCUUUGCAGGUCUAGCUCUGGCCCUUGGAUGGGCAUCGCUCACGGCAGAGCUGCUGCAGCACACCGUGGAUUCAGCAUGCAGAGCCCUCAUCUCCAGCAGCCAGGUGGAACGGACCGCUGGGAAAAGGGAGUUUGGUGUGUGAUGGCAAGAUUCACCAGUGCCCCUUCCACCAUUGGUAAGUGUUACAGGAUCAGCCCAUACACACACUCAUGGUGACAUCCUGGCCACACAGGCAUAAAUGAGUUUUAGCCAGGGAUAUCAGUGGAUGCAGGGUUUAAUUUGUUGUGUUUUAAAAACCAGCAAAAUUUUAUGGAACAGGAUAAAUACUUCUGAUGAUUUUGUCUUGAGUAGAGAUAUAAAUAGAUUUGCUUCCUCACAGAAGCAGCAAGAGUCACUUGUAAAGGCUUACUCAUAUUUACCUGGUCACGGUUCAUUUGCAGCCAAAGGAACUAUCCUAUUUGUUGAGCUGCAAACACAAAAAGGUGUAGCAAUCUGCUAGUUGUUAGAAAAUGGUCUCAUGGGAUUUGGUGUUUUUUGAGUGGGGAGGGUUAAAUCUAACUCUAGUUUCAGUGGUUGAAAUUUUUUUUAAAAGUAAUUAUUUUCCUUUUCAGAAAUGAAAUAUUAUUGAGCUGCAUUAUAUGCAAAACAAUAAAUGGCUAAUACAGAUAUGUGUAGUAGAGUAG